AUACGGAGGGUGCAAGCGUUAUCCGGAUUCAUUGGGUUUAAAGGGUGCGCAGGCGGAUAUUUAAGUCAGUGGUGAAAUCCCGGGGCUCAACCUCGGAACUGCCAUUGAUACUGAAUAUCUGGAAUACGGUUGAAGUGGGCGGAAUGUAGCAUGUAGCGGUGAAAUGCAUAGAGAUGCUACAGAACACCGAUCGCGAAGGCAGCUCACUAAGCCGAUAUUGACGCUCAGGCACGAAGGCGUGGGGAGCGAACAGGAUUAGAAACCCUAGUAGUCC
rnacentral:rRNA from 1 species